GCUCAUAACCGACCUCAGCCUUACGCAUCGGAAUGAAUAUCAGAAAAGUCUUGGUAAGGUUUAAUCGUUCCUAUAUCGUUUGAUUUCACUUUCAAUUCCCUACAACAAACAAAUCAAUCAUAGGUUAUAUCAAAAUACAUGGUAUAGUUAUGUAUGAAUUUCAGGAAUAGGAACUUGAUCAUUGGCUAUUGUAAAAGUAUAUCCGUGUGUGCGUGUGUUGUUUGAAUAUCAGAAAAAUCUUGGUAAGGUUUAAUCGUUCCUAUAUCAUUUGAUUUCACUUUCAAUUUCCUACAACAAACACACACACGGACAGACUUUCAUACGGCUACAAAUGAUUAAACGGCUACAAAUGAUUAAACGGCUAGACUUUCAUGCGGCUACAAAAUAAUCUGCAAGAAUUGAUGUGGUGGUAAAACUGCAAUACUGAUGGUUCUGUGUGUUGCAUUUGGGUCUCCAGCUGAAAAGACUCAAAGAGGGUCUACACUGAAGGAUUUUACAAAAAGGGGUUGCAGGUGCAACUGGAAAAUGCCAAAAAAAGUAUGCGAAACCUGCAGAUAUAAAAGUAAAAUAUUUUAGAAAGAAGAAUAGCUCAUUGGACUAUUGAUUCUAAAGACGUGUCCAAUCUGGGAAUGUCGAAGAGGUUAUUACUUGGAUUUUUUGUAGUUAAUGAAAAGUAUAAUGAGAUUCACAAAAAGAAACCCAUGUGGUGUGACUCGGAUGGCAAUCCAAUGGGCCUCUUGAAGAAGCUAGCCUAAAAUUUGCAAGGAAGGAUCGCAGCGCAAGGAGAAUGGAGACCGUCACUCAAUGCGGCUGUUGCCAAAAGCUGAAGAAGCAUCAAGUAUCAUCAGCAUCAUCCUAAAAACACUCAAGCUACAUGGUUUUCAAACAGUUCUCUUGCAAGCAAAUUAAAUGUUGUCAAACGGGUGUCUUCAGUUGUUUUCCCAGCAAGCAUUUCAGCUGGAGCAGAGGUAAUAUCUGUCUCUCAAAGAGGUUUCAAAUCCACAGAAGCAGAAUCUGUUUAUCAGUAGGUUGAACGUUUGUUGCGAGAUCAUUGAUUCUAUCGAUCCAGCUAAGCAAGAUCGUAAGCGUGAAACAUUGAUUGAGCUGCAGGUCGCACCAUAUAAGGGAAGGAAGGGCGAGUCAAAUUGGGGUCUUUACACAUCUAGAGAAUUACAAGUACUCAAUCGUAUCUGGAAUCUUGAAGAACAGCAUGCAUCUAACAUAUCAUUGGUAAAAGCACCAAAACGGAUCAUUCUAAGGCUAUAAUUCAAGAGUUGGUGCAUGAAAAGCAAUGGGAUAGGCAAUAAAUGGACGACCUGACAAAGCAAGUUUUAGACCAAAACCGACUCAAAACUGCUGUUCAGUUGGUCAGGGGAUGAGUAUAAUUUUGAAAUCUGGCCAAGUACAACAUUGUAUAAUAUAGUUUUACUGUAUGUUAUAUAUCUAUAACGUAGGUUCGAUGUAAAUUCACCGAUAUCAAUAGUAUACCCGCAGCAACGCGCGGGCCUUUUGCCUAGUGUA